rnacentral:rRNA from 1 species
UUGAACGCUGGCGGCCUGCUUUACCCAUGCAAGUCGAACGGUAACAGGCCUUCGGGUGCUGCCGAGUGGCGAACGGGUGAGUAAUGCGUCGGAACGUGCCCAGAGGUGGGGGAUAACGCAGCGAAAGCUGUGCUAAUACCGCAUGUGAUCUGAGGAUGAAAGCGGGGGACCAGGCAGCAAUGUUUGGCCUCGCGCCUUUGGAGCGGCCGAUGUCAGAUUAGGUAGUUGGUGGGGUAAAGGCCUACCAAGCCGACGAUCUGUAGCUGGUCUGAGAGGACGACCAGCCACACUGGGACUGAGACACGGCCCAGACUCCUACGGGAGGCAGCAGUGGGGAAUUUUGGACAAUGGGCGCAAGCCUGAUCCAGCAAUGCCGCGUGCGGGAAGAAGGCCUUCGGGUUGUAAACCGCUUUUGUACGGAACGAAAAGGCUCUGGCUAAUACCUGGGGCUGAUGACGGUACCGUAAGAAUAAGCACCGGCUAACUACGUG